rnacentral:lncRNA from 1 species
CCUCGGACAUACUUACUCAAGUAGCCAAGGCCCAGAAAUAAGACUAGCCAUGUUAUUUCUACUUUUCUUUCUUUUUCUUUCUAUUUUUUUCUCUUUUUUUUUUUCAUAAUUUCUCUUUUUUUUUCUUUUUGUAUAUAUAUACCCCAUAGAUUCCCCCAAACUCAAGCUUUUAUGUCAUUCCAACCUUUACCGCCAGUUCACUAAUUUCCUUAAAUUUUAACAAAGAUUUUCCCUCAGAA